CAAAGAAAUGAGAUUAACUCUUUAAAUAAUGUGUUAAAUUUACAUAUAUUUUAAAAUAUUAUUAAAGGAGGUUUGACAGUGUUGACAUUUAAAAAGUCAACAUUUGGAUUAAAUUUAGCUGGUAGUAUUAAUUUGGGUUUUAGUUAAGAGUCUGAGGACAUCAAGAAAACUGUUUACCACUUUGGUUUUAGCAGCUCAGUUUUACUAUUCCAUAAUGUGUUAUUUUUAAAGUUCUCUUUUUAAGAUCACAGUGAUAUCCUGUUUAAAUUUUUAAAAUAUGUUCAAAAUAUCUGGAGGGUGAGAAGUUACCAAGUUUGUAUGUUUCGCUUGACUCACCAUCUUUAUUUUCUGUAUGUAUAUGUAGUAACUGGCAAUUGUGUAUAUUUUCUUGAUUAACAUAUUAGAGACUGCUUCCAUCAUCUUAUGUAAACCUGGAAACAGCUGAAACUAGUCUUUUCUGAAGAACUGUAUAUCAGUAUUAUUAGAUGUGCAUCCCAUUUUGUCAUUGCCUCAGACUUUGAAUAUGGUCAUUACUCUCUGGAAGAGAAGUAUAAUUAUUUUUUUUUGUUGUUAUAUGCAGUAUGGUUUAAUUUAAGAUCUAGUAAUAAUACACAUAUGUAAACUCAUUAAAGUAUCACCAGUAAUUAGUAAAUUCCAAAUUCAAGUCAGUACAGUUCUGUCUUUGUAAAUUCUGUCUUUCAAAAAGUUAUUUGUGUUUUUAAAAGUUGAUGUCCAAAGGAAAGGAGCUUCUUAUCUUUUAAGUACUUUUGGUGUGUGUUAAAUAUUUAUUUGCUAUGAUAUUCUAGAAGAAAAUAUCAAACAUGUUAAAUAUAAGAACAUGUUAAAAUUUAAAUUUGUUAUUUCAAAAGUUACUGAAGAUGUCUUGGAAUAACAGUUGUUAUGCUGUUAAACUAUAUAGUUGCAUACACUUUAUUAAAAGCACUAUGGAGAAAAAUUUUAACAAUG